CAGGAGGAGUGUGUGAACACACACAUACACACUGGGCCCAACAGCCAGGAAAUGAGGAAUAUGCAAUAAGAGUGGGGGUGUGAUUGAAUCAGCCUGCUGCCUCUUGGCUCCCAGCUCUUGACUCACAGCCCAUAACUGAAUAACAAUGCCAGGGAGUCCAGGGUGAUUUGCAACUCAUGGUGAUUGAUUCAGAUUCCUACUCUCAUCCACUCUACUACAACACAGCAGGAGGGAGAACCAGGAAUUACCACCUAAACUGUCCAUGAUGUCUUGGACCCGAGGGAUAGGCUGGCGGUCGGGAUGUGUCUUUCUGUUCAGGUCUCUGUAAUCUAUACACAACCGGAGGGUCCCGUCCUUCUUCCGAACGCACACGACAGGUGAAGAAUAUGAAGAGUUUGACUUCCUAACCCAGCCCUGGGCUAUGAGGUCAUAAAGGAACAUCAUAAUGUGAGUCAUCAAUGAUAGCUCUCCUCGAACAGCAACACUAUCCUCACUGCAGCCUGCCUGAUUUGUCUUGAACAUCUCUUCUCUGUUCGCCUGAGAUGUCAAGGAAAUCACAUAUCUCUAGUAACUUGUCUUUAGUCAGGGUGUGCAAUUCUCCUACUACCUCUUCCUGUAGUUCUUCCAAGGCGGUCGUCAUGUUGACAGAACAGGAGGAACUUUUACUGUGCAGGAGUUGACUCUGAAUUAGAUGGUCCUUACUGUCUCUGAUGGUCGGUCAAUGGCCUCAGCUGACACGUACUUAACCACCAACUUCCAGCUCUCCUCGAACAGCAACACUAUCCUCACUGCAGCCUGCCUGAGUUGUUAUGUGGGGAUUUAGCUGGCUCGGAAUUCAGCAACAUCAUAAUGUGAGUCAUCAAUGAUAUG
rnacentral:lncRNA from 1 species